CACUCCCACCGCCCUGGACCUCAACCUGGCCUACCUCGCCACCCUCGUUCUCGAUGCCCGCCAGGAAGAUGGCGGAGCCCAGGAACAGGCAGAGGCAAAGGUGCAGGUGCACGGUGGUGCGCGAGCCCUGGAUGGGCCGCACCAGCAGGAAGGACUCACAUGAUGGGAGAAGGCAAAGGUGACCGAGGAAUCAAGGUGCUCCGUGUUUGUGUUGCUCAGAAACACCAAGUUGACGGCUGAGAAGAGCUCGGACCAGAUGCCACGGACAGGACGUUGUGUGCCUCGUGGUCCCCCCGGCUCCUGCUCUUACCUCCAUGGUGCUUUGAGCCAAGGCUGGCUUGAAGUCUCGGCGCAGAUCUUGGACCUCUUUAAAGAAGCUAGUGAGUCUCUAGGAAGAGAGGAGAUGAGGCAGGUGGUGUUCAUUUGCAUAUUCUGGAACCCGGGUUUGGGCUCCCAGCCACGGCGGCAGCGGCACCUGUAUGCGCCUAUAGUGUUGAUGCAGACGGUAGAGUUGUGGCACACAGGCUGACCGGAGCUGCACUCGUCCACAUCUGGGGACACAAAGAUGGGAGUCAGGCCCCCUCUCCUGUGUCCCGCCCACUUUUUUCCCGUAUUAGUACCUCCCACAUUGGCCGGAGGUGAUGUCACCUGCUGACCGCACAUCCUGGUGAUGCAGGAGUUACAGGAAAUGUGCCGAGGCCUGACACAUAGCACGUGAGCCCUGUACAGACGUGCAGGUUGUGAAAUACUGAAAUCCCAGUUAGUAAUUAGAGGGCUCCUGGGGUCUCCAAGGUUCUACUCCUCAGUACCCCAGCCCCUUCCCCAGGACCCCUCCCCAGAUCUUGUCCAUUGGAGCCGCAAAAGAAUUAACGCCUGGCACAGUAGAGCGCUGGCACCAUUCA